CCAAAACAAAAUUUCCACUGCCUUUGGAAAACACGGAGGCACGCUGAGCAGGAAUGCAGGCUGCAGGUAUUCUCAUUUUUGAGCCUCUCCUGGGGCCAAAGGGAACAUUCCUGGUCAUUCCUGGCCCUGGAGACCCCACCUGGCUGCUCCAGGCUCGUUGCCACCCCUGAGCUCAGGCCCAGCGUCUUCCGGCCAGUGCAGAUUGGAACAUUUGGAGCCAUUGUGGGUCACACCCUCCCCGAAACCCUGCUGGCCACAGAGCCCAGGCUGUGUCCCCACACGUGUCAGGGCUGAGGGCGCUGCUGGCCAGAGCUGGGGUAGCAACAGGCACCUCCUGAGGGAAUUGGCACCCUUGGUUUCUGGAAAUAAGGGCAGACAUCCCUCUUUGAAACAUUUGAAUGUGGGGAAAAAAGAGCAAAAUGAAAGAUAUUAGGAAGAGAGAUUGGAAUCACAGAAUAUCCUCAGUGGGAAAGGGGCCGGCUCACAGGGGUCAUUCAGCCCAACUCCUGCACAGACACCCCAAAAUCCCACCCUGGGCACCCCUGGGAGUGCUGUCCAAACCCUCCUGGAGCUCUGGCAGCCUUGGCAAUGUGCCCCUUCCCUGGGGAGCCUGGACAGGGCCCAGCACACUCUGGGGGAAGAACCUUUCCCAAAAUCCAUCCCAAUGGCCUGACACAGCCAUUCCCCAGGUCCUGUCCCUGUCCAGAGAGCAGAGCUGCCCCUCAGGAGCAAAUCAGGGCUGGAGGCAAGUGGAAAAUAGAAUCCCUGCAGGACUGGUGCUGGAUCCAGGGGGAAUCCUCAGCAUUCUGGAUGUGGAAUGGGAAUCCCAGGGCUGUAACCUCUCCAGGUUUUUUGCACCUUCCUUGGCCAAGCUGAGCAGCAUUCCCAGCCAUUCCCAGCCACUCCCAGCUGUGACACUUGGAUCAUCAUUAGGGGAUGUUGCCAUGGCUGCUUUCACAAUUAAAAACAAAUCCGGUUUGUGCUGCAGCCGGUGUUAUAAAAAUAAACACAGCUACUUUGCAUAACAGCAAAAUUAGGGCCUAAUUGCCAGCUGGUGUGUUAAACCAUAAAUGAAAACAAACAGGGCAAUAAAUGGAAUUAUUAGAAAGAUACUAUGGCUUGGGGAGAUAUUACACUGUGAGGGCUUAUUUGGAGAUCACAGAGCAAACCCAGCCUGAGCAGAGCAAAGCAGGGUCCUUGUCCUGCUCUUCCUCAAAUCCCUGGGGAUCAAACAAUCCCUCAUCAUCCUCUUUCCACUUGGGAUCAUCGGACCAUCCUCACAGACAGAAAUCAGUUUUUAGUGUGAAGAGAUGCAGCAAAUGGAAUCACAUGGAAAGGCUCAGAGGCAGAAAAGGAAUAUUUGUGUGUCCCUACUCAUUUCUGGGAGAGGGAUUGGGGUUGGGAAUGGCACCGG